UCGGGUGACGAGCGGCGGACGGGUGAGUAAUGUCUGGGAAACUGCCUGAUGGAGGGGGAUAACUACUGGAAACGGUAGCUAAUACCGCAUAAUGUCGCAAGACCAAAGUGGGGGACCUUCGGGCCUCAUGCCAUCAGAUGUGCCCAGAUGGGAUUAGCUAGUAGGUGGGGUAACGGCUCACCUAGGCGACGAUCCCUAGCUGGUCUGAGAGGAUGACCAGCCACACUGGAACUGAGACACGGUCCAGACUCCUACGGGAGGCAGCAGUGGGGAAUAUUGCACAAUGGGCGCAAGCCUGAUGCAGCCAUGCCGCGUGUGUGAAGAAGGCCUUCGGGUUGUAAAGCACUUUCAGCGGGGAGGAAGGCGAUAAGGUUAAUAACCUUGUCGAUUGACGUUACCCGCAGAAGAAGCACCGGCUAACUCCGUGCCAGCAGCCGCGGUAAUACGGAGGGCGCAAGCGUUAAUCGGAAUUACUGGGCGUAAAGCGCACGCAGGCGGUCUGUCAAGUCGGAUGUGAAAUCCCCGGGCUCAACCUGGGAACUGCAUUCGAAACUGGCAGGCUAGAGUCUUGUAGAGGGGGGUAGAAUUCCAGGUGUAGCGGUGAAAUGCGUAGAGAUCUGGAGGAAUACCGGUGGCGAAGGCGGCCCCCUGGACAAAGACUGACGCUCAGGUGCGAAAGCGUGGGGAGCAAACAGGAUUAGAUACCCUGGUAGUCCACGCCGUAAACGAUGUCGAUUUGGAGGU
rnacentral:rRNA from 1 species